CUGCGAUGAUGCAUUUCUUAGGACACCUUUGGAUUAAUCAUGAAAACAUCUAUUCUCUGAGCAGC
ensembl:snoRNA SNORD58 Small nucleolar RNA SNORD58